ensembl:snRNA U5 U5 spliceosomal RNA
UCACUCUUGUUUCUCUUCAAAUCGUAUAAAUCUUUCGCCUUUUACUAAAGAUUUCCGUGGAGAGAAACAACAAGAGUUUAUUGUAAAUUUUUGGAAUCCUGCCAUUUGGUGGGGU